rnacentral:misc_RNA from 1 species
AAAUCCCAAAAUGGUGCGAGAAACCGAAAAACUACGCUCAAUACGGCACCCAGAAAUAGCCGAACAGUUAGAGCCGUAGAUCGGCCAAAUUCAUUGGAAGAGUAAGCAAUGGAACAAGUACCGGUACCUUUGUCAAUUAAAGUGGCACUGUCAACAAUGAAGUCACCAAAAAAGAUUACUGUUGUCAACAGUGUUGACAAUAAAAUCAUUGUGAAGUUCACACUGAACUGAUAAUUCGCAGAUCAACUUUUUUUUUUUUUUUUUGUACAUGUGUUACAGACAACUUUGAAAGAGUAAACUUUGCUUGUUUUAAAUUGUAUAAAACUGGGGAACU